UUGAACGCUGGCGGCAGGCCUAACACAUGCAAGUCGAACGGUAACAGGAAGAAGCUUGCUUCUUUGCUGACGAGUGGCGGACGGGUGAGUAAUGUCUGGGAAACUGCCUGAUGGAGGGGGAUAACUACUGGAAACGGUAGCUAAUACCGCAUAACGUCGCAAGACCAAAGAGGGGGACCUUCGGGCCUCUUGCCAUCGGAUGUGCCCAGAUGGGAUUAGCUAGUAGGUGGGGUAACGGCUCACCUAGGCGACGAUCCCUAGCUGGUCUGAGAGGAUGACCAGCCACACUGGAACUGAGACACGGUCCAGACUCCUACGGGAGGCAGCAGUGGGGAAUAUUGCACAAUGGGCGCAAGCCUGAUGCAGCCAUGCCGCGUGUAUGAAGAAGGCCUUCGGGUUGUAAAGUACUUUCAGCGGGGAGGAAGGGAGUAAAGUUAAUACCUUUGCUCAUUGACGUUACCCGCAGAAGAAGCACCGGCUAACUCCGUGCCAGCAGCCGCGGUAAUACGGAGGGUGCAAGCGUUAAUCGGAAUUACUGGGCGUAAAGCGCACGCAGGCGGUUUGUUAAGUCAGAUGUGAAAUCCCCGGGCUCAACCUGGGAACUGCAUCUGAUACUGGCAAGCUUGAGUCUCGUAGAGGGGGGUAGAAUUCCAGGUGUAGCGGUGAAAUGCGUAGAGAUCUGGAGGAAUACCUGUGGCGAAGGCGGCCCCCUGGACGAAGACUGACGCUCAGGUGCGAAAGCGUGGGGAGCAAACAGGAUUAGAUACCCUGGUAGUCCACGCCGUAAACGAUGUCGACUUGGAGGUUGUGCCCUUGAGGCGUGGCUUCCGGAGCUAACGCGUUAAGUCGACCGCCUGGGGAGUACGGCCGCAAGGUUAAAACUCAAAUGAAUUGACGGGGGCCCGCACAAGCGGUGGAGCAUGUGGUUUAAUUCGAUGCAACGCGAAGAACCUUACCUGGUCUUGACAUCCACGGAAGUUUUCAGAGAUGAGAAUGUGCCUUCGGGAACCGUGAGACAGGUGCUGCAUGGCUGUCGUCAGCUCGUGUUGUGAAAUGUUGGGUUAAGUCCCGCAACGAGCGCAACCCUUAUCCUUUGUUGCCAGCGGUCCGGCCGGGAACUCAAAGGAGACUGCCAGUGAUAAACUGGAGGAAGGUGAGGAUGACGUCAAGUCAUCAUGGCCCUUACGACCAGGGCUACACACGUGCUACAAUGGCGCAUACAAAGAGAAGCGACCUCGCGAGAGCAAGCGGACCUCAUAAAGUGCGUCGUAGUCCGGAUUGGAGUCUGCAACUCGACUCCAUGAAGUCGGAAUCGCUAGUAAUCGUGGAUCAGAAUGCCACGGUGAAUACGUUCCCGGGCCUUGUACACACCGCCCGUCACACCAUGGGAGUGGGUUGCAAAAGAAGUAGGUAGCUUAACCUUCGGGAGGGCGCUUACCACUUUGUGAUUCAUGACUGGGGUG
rnacentral:rRNA from 1 species